rnacentral:rRNA from 1 species
ACGGAAGGCAGCAGUGGGGAAUAUUGGGCAAUGGGCGAAAGCCUGACCUAGCGACGCCGCGUGAGGGAAGACGGUCUUCGGAUUGUAAACCUCUUUCAGCAGGGAAGAUAAUGACGGUACCUGCAGAAGAAGCCACGGCUAACUACGUGCCAGCAGCCGCGGUAAUACGUAGGUGGCAAGCGUUAUCCGGAUUUAUUGGGUGUAAAGGGUGUGUAGGCGGGACUGCAAGUCAGAAGUGAAAGUUAUGGGCUCAACCCAUAACCUGCUUUUGAAACUGUGGUUCUUGAGAGUGGGAGAGGUAAACGGAAUUCCUGGUGUAGCGGUGAAAUGCGUAGAUAUCAGGAGGAACACCGGUGGCGAAGGCGGUUUACUGGACCAUUACUGACGCUGAGACACGAAAGCGUGGGGAGCAAACAGGAUUAGAUACCCUGGUA